AUAUGGGGGGACCAUCCUCCAAGGCUAAAUACUCCUGACUGACCGAUAGUGAACCAGUACCGUGAGGGAAAGGCGAAAAGAACCCCGGCGAGGGGAGUGAAAAAGAACCUGAAACCGUGUACGUACAAGCAGUGGGAGCACAGAGCAAUCUGUGUGACUGCGUACCUUUUGUAUAAUGGGUCAGCGACUUAUAUUCUGUAGCAAGGUUAACCGAAUAGGGGAGCCGAAGGGAAACCGAGUCUUAACUGGGCGUUAAGUUGCAGGGUAUAGACCCGAAACCCGGUGAUCUAGCCAUGGGCAGGUUGAAGGUUGGGUAACACUAACUGGAGGACCGAACCGACUAAUGUUGAAAAAUUAGCGGAUGACUUGUGGCUGGGGGUGAAAGGCCAAUCAAACCGGGAGAUAGCUGGUUCUCCCCGAAAGCUAUUUAGGUAGCGCCUCGUGAAUUCAUCUCCGGGGGUAGAGCACUGUUUCGGCAAGGGGGUCAUCCCGACUUACCAACCCGAUGCAAACUGCGAAUACCGGAGAAUGUUAUCACGGGAGACACACGGCGGGUGCUAACGUCCGUCGUGAAGAGGGAAACAACCCAGACCGCCAGCUAAGGUCCCAAAGUCAUGGUUAAGUGGGAAACGAUGUGGGAAGGCCCAGACAGCCAGGAUGUUGGCUUAGAAGCAGCCAUCAUUUAAAGAAAGCGUAAUAGCUCACUGGUCGAGUCGGCCUGCGCGGAAGAUGUAACGGGGCUAAACCAUGCACCGAAGCUGCGGCAGCGACACUGUGUGUUGUUGGGUAGGGGAGCGUUCUGUAAGCCUGUGAAGGUGUGCUGUGAGGCAUGCUGGAGGUAUCAGAAGUGCGAAUGCUGACAUAAGUAACGAUAAAGCGGGUGAAAAGCCCGCUCGCCGGAAGACCAAGGGUUCCUGUCCAACGUUAAUCGGGGCAGGGUGAGUCGACCCCUAAGGCGAGGCCGAAAGGCGUAGUCGAUGGGAAACAGGUUAAUAUUCCUGUACUUGGUGUUACUGCGAAGGGGGGACGGAGAAGGCUAUGUUGGCCGGGCGACGGUUGUCCCGGUUUAAGCGUGUAGGCUGGUUUUCCAGGCAAAUCCGGAAAAUCAAGGCUGAGGCGUGAUGACGAGGCACUACGGUGCUGAAGCAACAAAUGCCCUGCUUCCAGGAAAAGCCUCUAAGCAUCAGGUAACAUCAAAUCGUACCCCAAACCGACACAGGUGGUCAGGUAGAGAAUACCAAGGCGCUUGAGAGAACUCGGGUGAAGGAACUAGGCAAAAUGGUGCCGUAACUUCGGGAGAAGGCACGCUGAUAUGUAGGUGAAGUCCCUCGCGGAUGGAGCUGAAAUCAGUCGAAGAUACCAGCUGGCUGCAACUGUUUAUUAAAAACACAGCACUGUGCAAACACGAAAGUGGACGUAUACGGUGUGACGCCUGCCCGGUGCCGGAAGGUUAAUUGAUGGGGUCAGCGCAAGCGAAGCUCUUGAUCGAAGCCCCGGUAAACGGCGGCCGUAACUAUAACGGUCCUAAGGUAGCGAAAUUCCUUGUCGGGUAAGUUCCGACCUGCACGAAUGGCGUAAUGAUGGCCAGGCUGUCUCCACCCGAGACUCAGUGAAAUUGAACUCGCUGUGAAGAUGCAGUGUACCCGCGGCAAGACGGAAAGACCCCGUGAACCUUUACUAUAGCUUGACACUGAACAUUGAGCCUUGAUGUGUAGGAUAGGUGGGAGGCUUUGAAGUGUGGACGCCAGUCUGCAUGGAGCCGACCUUGAAAUACCACCCUUUAAUGUUUGAUGUUCUAACGUGGACCCGUGAUCCGGGUUGCGGACAGUGUCUGGUGGGUAGUUUGACUGGGGCGGUCUCCUCCUAAAGAGUAACGGAGGAGCACGAAGGUUGGCUAAUCCUGGUCGGACAUCAGGAGGUUAGUGCAAUGGCAUAAGCCAGCUUGACUGCGAGCGUGACGGCGCGAGCAGGUGCGAAAGCAGGUCAUAGUGAUCCGGUGGUUCUGAAUGGAAGGGCCAUCGCUCAACGGAUAAAAGGUACUCCGGGGAUAACAGGCUGAUACCGCCCAAGAGUUCAUAUCGACGGCGGUGUUUGGCACCUCGAUGUCGGCUCAUCACAUCCUGGGGCUGAAGUAGGUCCCAAGGGUAUGGCUGUUCGCCAUUUAAAGUGGUACGCGAGCUGGGUUUAGAACGUCGUGAGACAGUUCGGUCCCUAUCUGCCGUGGGCGCUGGAGAACUGAGGGGGGCUGCUCCUAGUACGAGAGGACCGGAGUGGACGCAUCACUGGUGUUCGGGUUGUCAUGCCAAUGGCACUGCCCGGUAGCUAAAUGCGGAAGAGAUAAGUGCUGAAAGCAUCUAAGCACGAAACUUGCCCCGAGAUGAGUUCUCCCUGACCCUUUAAGGGUCCUGAAGGAACGUUGAAGACGACGACGUUGAUAGGCCGGGUGUGUAAGCGCAGCGAUGCGUUGAGCUAACCGGUACUAAUGAACCGUGAGGCUUAACCUUACAACGCCGAAGGUGUUU
rnacentral:rRNA from 1 species